rnacentral:rRNA from 1 species
GUGUCAGCCGCCGCGGUAAUACAGGGGUCUCAAGCGUUAAUCGGAAUCACUGGGCUUAAAGGGUGCGUAGGCGGACCAGUAAGCGCUUUGUGAAAUCCCCCGGCUCAACCGGGGAAUUGCAGGGCGAACUGCUGGUCUAGAGGAAACUAGAGGCGGGCAGAACGAUUGGUGGAGCGGUGGAAUGCGUAGAUAUCAAUCGGAAUGCCGAAAGUGAAGACAGCCCGCUGGGGUUUUCCUGACGCUGAGGCACGAAAGCGUGGGUAGCAAACCGGAUUAGAAACCCUCGUAGUCC